GUAAGUGUUUAAGAGCGUACGGUGGAUGCCUUGGCACCAGGAGCCGAUGAAGGACGUAGGAGGCUGCGAUAAGCCUCGGGGAGCUGUCAACCGAGCUGAGAUCCGAGGAUUUCCGAAUGGGGAAACCCAGCACGAGUGAUGUCGUGUUACCCGCAUCUGAAUAUAUAGGGUGUGUGGAGGGAACGUGGGGAAGUGAAACAUCUCAGUACCCACAGGAAGAGAAAACAACAGUGAUUCCGUGAGUAGUGGCGAGCGAAAGCGGAUGAGGCUAAACCAGUUAGAUGUGAUAGACGGCAGUUGUUGUCUAGCUGGGGUAGUGGGAACAUUCUUCUCAACUCUGCCGAGUUGAGCAACAGUAAGAAACCAAGUGGUUAGUUGAAGUGGUCUGGAACGGCCUGCCAUAGACGGUGAUAGUCCGGUAAACGAAAACUUCUUGGCUGUUGUGGAUGUCUCCCGAGUAGCAGCGGGCCCGUGAAAUCUGCUGUGAAUCUGCCGGGACCACCCGGUAAGCCUGAAUACUCCCUGGUGACCGAUAGCGGACUAGUACCGUGAGGGAAAGGUGAAAAGUACCCCGGGAGGGGAGUGAAAUAGUACCUGAAACCGUGCGCUUACAAUCCGUCAAAGCCUUCGCAACUUGUUGUGUGGGGUGAUGGCGUGCCUUUUGAAGAAUGAGCCUGCGAGUCAUCGGUGUGUGGCGAGGUUAACCCGUCGAGGGGUAGCCGUAGCGAAAGCGAGUCUGAAUAGGGCGAAAUUUAGUCGCACAUUAUGGACCCGAAGCGGAGUGAUCUACCCAUGGCCAGGGUGAAGCGACGGUAAGACGUCGUGGAGGCCCGAACCCACUUAGGUUGAAAACUGAGGGGAUGAGCUGUGGGUAGGGGUGAAAGGCCAAUCAAACUCCGUGAUAGCUGGUUCUCCCCGAAAUGCAUUUAGGUGCAGCGUCACGUGUUUCACACCGGAGGUAGAGCUACUGGAUGGCCUAGGGGGCCUACAAGCUUACCGAAGUCAGCCAAACUCCGAAUGCCGGUGUGUGAGAGCGUGGCAGUGAGACUGCGGGGGAUAAGCUUCGUAGUCGAGAGGGAAACAGCCCAGAUCGCCGGCUAAGGCCCCUAAGCGUGUACUAAGUGGAAAAGGAUGUGGGGUCGCUUAGACAACCAGGAGGUUGGCUUAGAAGCAGCCACCCUUGAAAGAGUGCGUAAUAGCUCACUGGUCAAGUGAUCCUGCGCCGACAAUGUAGCGGGGCUCAAGUACACCGCCGAAGCCGCGGCAUUCCAGCAAUAGCCCGUCCAAUCCUUCGGGGUUGGGCCAGGUGCUGGGAUGGGUAGGGGAGCGUCCUGUGGCCGUGGAAGCAGCAGUGUGAACUAGCUGUGGAGGCCACGGGAGUGAGAAUGCAGGCAUGAGUAGCGAAAGACGAGUGAGAAACUCGUCCGCCGAAUGACCAAGGGUUCCUGGGCCAGGUUAAUCCGCCCAGGGUGAGUCGGGACCUAAGGCGAGGCCGACAGGCGUAGUCGAUGGACAACGGGUUGAUAUUCCCGUACCCGUGUAUCCGCGCCCAAUGCUGAAUCAGUUGUGCUAACUGUCCAAAUGUUGUCUUAUCGAGCCUUCGGGUGAGAGGGGUGACGGCUGCACAGGACCCUGACUGUAGUAGGUAAGCGAUGGGGUGACGCAGGAAGGUAGCUGGGCCAGGUGAUGGAAUACCUGGUGUAAGCCUGUAGGGCGAACGGUAGGCAAAUCCGCCGUUCAUAUAGCCUGAGAGGUGAUGCGUACCCGUUGAGGGGAAUUCAGUGAUCCUAUGCUGCCGAGAAAAGCCUCUAGCGAGCUGGUACACGGCCCGUACCCCAAACCGACACAGGUGGUCAGGUAGAGAAUACUAAGGCGAUCGAGAGAACUGUGGUUAAGGAACUCGGCAAAAUGCCCCCGUAACUUCGGGAGAAGGGGGACCACGCCUGGUGAAGGGUUUUACACCUGGAGCUGGGUGGGGUCGCAGAGACCAGAGAGAAGCGACUGUUUACUAAAAACACAGGUCCGUGCGAAGUCGUAAGACGAUGUAUACGGACUGACGCCUGCCCGGUGCCGGAAGGUUAAGAGGACCGGUUAGCCUGUAAGGGCGAAGCUGAGAAUUUAAGCCCCGGUAAACGGCGGUGGUAACUAUAACCAUCCUAAGGUAGCGAAAUUCCUUGUCGGGUAAGUUCCGACCUGCACGAAUGGCGUAACGACUUCUCUGCUGUCUCAACCACAGACUCGGCGAAAUUGCAUUACGAGUAAAGAUGCUCGUUACGCGCGGCAGGACGAAAAGACCCCGGGACCUUCACUAUAGCUUGGUAUUGGUGUUCGGUACGGUUUGUGUAGGAUAGGUGGGAGACUGUGAAGCUCGGACGCUAGUUCGGGUGGAGUCGUCGUUGAAAUACCACUCUGAUCGUAUUGGACUUCUAACCUCGGACCAUGAUCUGGUUCAGGGACAGUGCCUGGUGGGUAGUUUAACUGGGGCGGUUGCCUCCCAAAAUGUAACGGAGGCGCCCAAAGGUUCCCUCAGCCUGGUUGGCAAUCAGGUGUUGAGUGCAAGUGCACAAGGGAGCUUGACUGUGAGACUGACAGGUCGAGCAGGGACGAAAGUCGGGACUAGUGAUCCGGCACCGGCAAGUGGAAGCGGUGUCGCUCAACGGAUAAAAGGUACCCCGGGGAUAACAGGCUGAUCUUCCCCAAGAGUCCAUAUCGACGGGAUGGUUUGGCACCUCGAUGUCGGCUCGUCGCAUCCUGGGGCUGGAGUAGGUCCCAAGGGUUGGGCUGUUCGCCCAUUAAAGCGGCACGCGAGCUGGGUUUAGAACGUCGUGAGACAGUUCGGUCUCUAUCCGCCGCGCGCGUAAGAAACUUGAGGAAGGCUGUCCCUAGUACGAGAGGACCGGGACGGACGAACCUCUGGUGUGCCAGUUGUUCCGCCAGGAGCACUGCUGGUUGGCUACGUUCGGAAGGGAUAACCGCUGAAAGCAUCUAAGCGGGAAGCCUGUUCCAAGAUGAGGUUUCUCUCCCACUUGAUGGGUUAAGGCCCCCUACAGACCAUGGGGUUGAUAGGCCAGAAUUGGAAGCCAGGUAACUGGUGUAGGUGACUGGUACUAAUAGGCCGAGGGCUUACUACG
rnacentral:rRNA from 1 species